UAUAAAAGAGAAGCAGAAAACACUGUACAUUGAACAGUGUUCUGCUUCUCCCUUAUAAGCCCUUUCAGUCAAAUACUGCAGUGUUUAGGAACGAUUGGUCCAUUUCUGUCAUUUCCGUUAUAAUUACACCUCCACCCUUUUACUCUACACUUUGCAUUAAUUUAAAAGGUACAUUUUGGUCUUUUACUUCUUUUAAAAAAGGUCAAGUGCAUUUAACAAGUCACGUGCGGUUUUAAAAUUUACAUCAAAGAAGCUGCUUAUUGAAGAAGCACCUUCUCGAGUAAGUUAUGUCAUCCAACGCUUUUCAAUUAGCUAUGUUUACAGCUGUAAAUUGGCUCAUGUGGCAGCUUUCUGUCCAUACUUUCUACUACCGUCAUUCCAUCUUUGCCCCUGCAACAAAAACAGUAUAUAAAUCAGUGUUUGGGAAAGAUGGUAAACCAAUUUCAAUUCUCACCCAUCUAUUGUUUACUAAUGGAGCUUAUUUAAUUUGAUUCAGUUGCAAGAUACAAGCAUUCAAACGAUGGAAAUUUGUUCAACCUACAUGGACUAACGUUGAAGCUGAACUAAAAUCCAGUUAUUCAUUUUUUUCCAGGACACACAAGGGGCAGUUUAUGCUUUACCAUAAUCCUUGCACAAGAAAAGGAAAAUCACUGAAACUUAACCACGGGUAGAUGAAAACAUGGUGAAUGGACGGCUCAUCUCCGUUGAGGCAUGCAUGAGUCGCACGUGGUGCGAAUCCAACACCAAAUAACAUAACGGGACUAACAGGGUUCAAGACAUCGGUAUUUUGCUCUUCAUUUGAAACGAUUGCGUUUUACCGAAAAUCAUUACCGUUUUACUCUACGAUUGCGUUUUACAUGGGCCGGUUCGCAGCCCAUGAAACGCAGGCAUGUUUACACUCAAGUCAGUCUGUUUCUCACAUUACCUAAUAUCCAGCCCAUAAUGCAUAAAUACAUGAUACAUACUUUAAUUUAAUAAUACAUUUCCAAUUUUCUCAUAAUAAAAUUUAUUUUUUCACUUUAAUAAUUUCAAAUAAAAAUAAAAAUUAAAUAUAUACAUACUGUACUCUGACACAAUUUAAAAUAUAGAUUUAAAGACAACACAAUUUAUCGCAUAAUUAGCAAUUACCAAUUCUUAAUGUUUACAUUAAAACUGUGGAUUUAUUAGUUAUGUUUUUUUUUAUAUUUAAAUUUGUGUUUUUUCUGUGUAGAUGUUUUUUUCUUUACUAAAACCCAUAUGGGUAUAUUUUUGCACCUUUUUCUUUUCUUAUUUCACUAAAUCUUUAUUUUUACUAUCUAUUUUUAUGGCUUAAUAUCUUAAAUACAAAUUUUUUUGAAGUGAGAUUAAUCCUAUCAAAGACUUUAAAAAUAGUGACUUUAAUCAAUUUUCAAUAAGUAUUGUUCUAAAAAAAUACCAAAUAUAAUAUUUUUAAUUCUACACACACACACACACACACACAC